CCACCUGAAAUUACAGCUCUUCAUGUUAUUAUUGAUUCACACAAUACAGCUACGACCAUUUUGAUUUCUACAAAGUGAAUUUCAUAAAUUUAAAGAGUAUUCUAAUGGGAAAUGAUGGCAAGUUCAGUAAUUUUUAGUGCGACAAUGGCACAUAAUGAGCAAAAGAUUAGCUGUAAAUCCCGGGCCCGUGGCCCAGACCAGAUGGAAGCCCAGCCCCUCAGGAUGAAACAGUGUCGUAUGGGUAAGGUUCUUCCUUUCUAAUUCCCCCACCACCCCUGACGGUUACCCCUCUCUUCAGUUUCUUCUUCAUGAAAUCCUCUCCCCGAUCCCACCUCUAUCACGUCUCGACAGUUUCCUCUUUUGUUUUGUUUCUUUCUCACAUUCAGAUUUCUUCUCUCAACAGACUCUCCCUCUCUCGUUCUCUCACCUCCUGCGAAGUGCUGCAAUUUUCGGUGGGUUCCUGGAUUGGUGUCUCCAAGCUCUUUGCCGAAAGUUGGUGAGCUUUCCUCUCACUCACCCUCUGUUUUCAAGCACACGCCCACACCCACUCAGAGUUCUUUCCCUCCAUUCCUUUCAUUCACAUAAGGAAUUGUUGUGAUUCAGAGUGCCGUCGUUCAUGGGUCUGUUAAAUCGGUGUUACCAUUGAGCCUCCUCACUAGAAUUGCCAUCAACGACAGUAACCCCUCUUCUCCACACUCACAAAUUGUUUCCUUUCACAGAACAUUUUGUUUUUUACUCCCCAUUGUACACCUCUGCAGCUUUAACACCUCCGUGCACUGCCAACACCAAAGCCACCCUCUUUAUUUUGGUGCUGUGACAGGCAAGACACACCCCUCUCACCACCAAGAGAAGCAGUUUCAUCCCCAGGCAGUGUGGUGUACUCGUGAAAGCAAUCAAUCACCACUUUAAGUCUAGUGAUUUUUCUGCAUGGUCUUUCCUGUGUGCACACUCGGGGCUCCAAGAAUGAAUAGAGGGAAAAUUCACAUUCUGAUAUUGUCUGGUUUGGCCACCGGAGAUAGCACAAGCCUACCACGGGGGUUAAACAUGGUAUAUGAUGAUGUUGACAGUUCAGCUGGGGACCAGGAAUAGUGAUUGCGAACAAGACUAGCUAAAGAUAGGAAGAUUUAGUACCUAAGGGUACUAUUGAUGAUUAGAGAAGUUUUAUUUGGUAAUGGGUUUUUUCUUAGUUAUGGAUUAUUGAGAUUUAUGUAAUUAAUUGAAUGUUUUUUUUUUAUAAGUAAUUAAUUGAAUGUUAUGAUUGGGGUUACAAGAGAUUUUGGAAACGUAGAUUUGUGUUUCUUGGAUUUAUCAUGUUGAUGACCUUGUGGAUAAUUUUAUGCUUGAAGUUGAAGUAGAUGAAUUUAUGUUU